ACGGGCGGUGUGUGCAAUUGCAGUUGAUACUGCGUCGCUUGAGUGCACACAGGGAUGUUGGAAUUCAUGGUGUAGCGGUGAAAUGCUUAGAUAUCAUGAAGAACUCCGAUCGCGAAGGCAUAUGUCCGGAGUGCAACUGACGCUGAGGCUCGAAAGUGUGGGUAUCAAACAGGAUUAGAUACCCUGGUAGUCCACACAGUAAACGAUGAAUACUCGCGGUUGGUUCGUUAGAUUCAGCCGCCAAGCGAAAGCGUUAAGUAUUCCACCUGGGGAGUACGCCGGCAACGGUGAAACUCAAAGGAAUUGACGGGGGCCCGCACAAGCGGAGGAACAUGUGGUUUAAUUCGAUGAUACGCGAGGAACCUUACCCGGGCUUGAACUGCCAGUGACUCAUGCAGAGACGCAUGUUUCUUCGGACACUGGCGGAGGUGCUGCAUGGUUGUCGUCAGCUCGUGCCGUGAGGUGUCAGCUUAAGUGCCAUAACGAGCGCAACCCUUCUCCCUGUUUGCCAUCGGGUCAUGCCGGGCACUCCAGGGACACUGCCAUCGUAAGAUGUGAGGAAGGUGGGGAUGACGUCAAAUCAGCACGGCCCUUACGUCCGGGGCUACACACGUGUUACAAUGGGCGGUACAGAAAGCAGCUACCCCGCGAGGGGAUGCCAAUCUCAAAAACCGUUCUCAGUUCGGACUGGAGUCUGCAACCCGACUCCACGAAGCUGGAUUCGCUAGUAAUCGCGCAUCAGCCAUGGCGCGGUGAAUACGUUCCCGGGCCUUGUACACACCGCCCGU
rnacentral:rRNA from 1 species